GAACGAACGCUGGCGGCGUGCUUAACACAUGCAAGUCAGGGAGAAAGUGACUUCGGUCUUGAAUAAACCGGCGCACGGGUGAGUAACACGUGAGUAAUCUGCCUUUUAGAUUGGGACAACUUGCCGAAAGGUGAGCUAAUACCGGAUAAGUUAUGCUGACGAUUGUUAGUAUAGGAAAGGAUGGAGUAAUCUAUCGCUAAGAGAUGAGCUCGCGUCCCAUUAGCUAGUUGGUAGGGUAAAGGCCUACCAAGGCGACGAUGGGUAGCCGGCCUGAGAGGGUGGCCGGCCACACUGGGACUGAGACACGGCCCAGACUCCUACGGGAGGCAGCAGUGGGGAAUUUUGCGCAAUGCCCGAGAGGGUGACGCAGCGACGCCGCGUGAACGAAGAAGGUCUUCGGAUCGUAAAGUUCUUUCGACGGGGAAAAAUGGCAACAUCAGUAACUGGGUGUUGUUUGAUGGUACCCGUAGAAGCAGCCCCGGCUAACUCCGUGCCAGCAGCCGCGGUAAUACGGAGGGGGCGAGCGUUGUUCGGAGUGACUGGGCGUAAAGAGCACGUAGGCGGUGAUAUAAGUCAUUAGUCAAAGGCGUCGGCUUAACCGGCGUAAGGCUAGUGAUACUAUAUGACUGGAGUGCCGGAGAGGAUUGCAGAAUUCCUGGUGUAGCGGUGAAAUGCGUAGAUAUCAGGAGGAAUACCUGUUGCGAAGGCGGCAAUCUGGUCGGUAACUGACGCUGAGGUGCGAAAGCGUGGGUAGCAAACAGGAUUAGAUACCCUGGUAGUCCACGCUGUAAACGAUGGACGCUAGAUGUCGGGAGCGUAUGCUUUCGGUGGCGAAGCCAACGCGUUAAGCGUCCCGCCUGGGGAGUACGUUCGCAAGAAUGAAACUCAAAGGAAUUGACGGGGGCCCGCACAAGCGGUGGAGCACGUGGUUUAAUUCGAUGCUAA
rnacentral:rRNA from 1 species